rnacentral:rRNA from 1 species
GAUGAACGCUAGCGGCAGGCUUAACACAUGCAAGUCGAGGGGUAUUAGUUUUCGGACUAAGAGACCGGCGCACGGGUGCGUAACGCGUAUGCAACCUGCCCUUUGCUGGGGGAUAGCCCGGAGAAAUUCGGAUUAAUACCCCAUAGUAUCACUGAUUCGCAUGUUUUAGUGAUUAAAGGUUACGGCAAAGGAUGGGCAUGCGUCCUAUUAGCUAGAUGGUGAGGUAACGGCUCACCAUGGCGACGAUAGGUAGGGGGCCUGAGAGGGUGGUCCCCCACACUGGUACUGAGACACGGACCAGACUCCUACGGGAGGCAGCAGUGAGGAAUAUUGGUCAAUGGUCGGAAGACUGAACCAGCCAUGCCGCGUGCAGGAAGACGGUCCUAUGGAUUGUAAACUGCUUUUAUCUGGGAAUAAACUCCGGUACGUGUACCGGCCUGAAGGUACCAAAUGAAUAAGCACCGGCUAACUCCGUGCCAGCCGCCGCGGUAAGAC